rnacentral:rRNA from 1 species
UGCCAGCAGCCGCGGUAAGACGACCCGUCCAAACGUUAUUCGGAAUCACUGGGCUUAAAGAGUCCGUAGGCGGCUUGGAAGGUGAGGUGUGAAAUCCCACAGCCCAACUGUGGAACUGCGCUUCAAACCACUAAGCUUGAGGGAGUCAGGGGUGAGCGGAACAAGUGGUGGAGCGGUGAAAUGCGUUGAUAUCAUUUGGAACCCGGUGGCGAAGGCGGCUCACUGGGACUCUUCUGACGCUGAGGGACGAAAGCUAGGGUAGCGAACGGGAUUAGAUA